rnacentral:rRNA from 1 species
CAGCAGCCGCGGUAAUACCAGCAGCCCAAGUGGUGGUCGCGAUUAUUGGGCCUAAAGCGCUCGUAGCCGGGCCGGUAAGUCCCUUGUGAAAUCGGACGGCCUAACCGUUCGGCGUGCAAGGGAUACUGUCGGUCUUGAGGCCGGGAGACGUCCGAGGUACUCCGGGGGUAGCGGUGAAAUGUUCUGAUCCUCGGGGGACCACCGGUGGCGAAGGCGUUCGACGAGAACGGGCCUGACGGUGAGGGGCGAAGGCUAGGGGAGCAAACGGGAUUAGAUACCCGGGUAGUCCCUGUCUCUUAUU